rnacentral:piRNA from 1 species
UCUCAGGGAUUAAAAAAAUAAAAUAGAUGCA